GAUGAACGCUGGCGGCGUGCCUAACACAUGCAAGUCGAACGUGAGGGGGUAGCAAUAUCCCUGAAAGUGGCGAACGGGUGAGUAACACGUAGAUAACCUGCCUCAGAGUGGGGGAUAACGACUGGAAACGGUCGCUAACACCGCAUGGUGCUAAGAUAGCGGGAGUUAUUUUAGCGAAAACUCUGGUGCUUUGAGAGGGGUCUGCGUCCGAUUAGCUAGUUGGUGGGGUAAAGGCCUACCAAGGCGACGAUCGGUAGCUGGUCUGAGAGGACGAUCAGCCACACGGGAACUGAGAGACGGUCCCGACUCCUACGGGGGGCAGCAGUGAGGAAUAUUGGGCAAUGGGCGGAAGCCUGACCCAGCAACGCCGCGUGGAGGAAUGAAGGCCUUCGGGUUGUAAACUCCUUUUACGGGGGAAGAGGAAGGACGGUACCCCGAGAAUAAGUCACGGCUAACUACGUG
rnacentral:rRNA from 1 species